GCCAGUGUGGCGUAAGGGUUUGAGGGCUGGACUACGACUCUAGAGACCAAGGUUCAAUUCCUGCUCAUACG